GAUGAACGCUGGCGGCGUGCCUAAUACAUGCAAGUCGAGCGAACAGACGAGGAGCUUGCUCCUUUGACGUUAGCGGCGGACGGGUGAGUAACACGUAGGUAACCUACCUAUAAGACUGGGAUAACUUCGGGAAACCGGAGCUAAUACCGGAUAAUAUUUCGAACCGCAUGGUUCGAUAGUGAAAGAUGGCUUUGCUAUCACUUAUAGAUGGACCUGCGCCGUAUUAGCUAGUUGGUAAGGUAACGGCUUACCAAGGCAACGAUACGUAGCCGACCUGAGAGGGUGAUCGGCCACACUGGAACUGAGACACGGUCCAGACUCCUACGGGAGGCAGCAGUAGGGAAUCUUCCGCAAUGGGCGAAAGCCUGACGGAGCAACGCCGCGUGAGCGAUGAAGGUCUUCGGAUCGUAAAACUCUGUUAUUAGGGAAGAACAAACGUGUAAGUAACUGUGCACGUCUUGACGGUACCUAAUCAGAAAGCCACGGCUAACUACGUG
rnacentral:rRNA from 1 species